rnacentral:rRNA from 1 species
ACGGGAGGCAGCAGUGAGGAAUAUUGGUCAAUGGGCGAGAGCCUGAACCAGCCAAGUAGCGUGAAGGAUGACUGCCCUACGGGUUGUAAACUUCUUUUGCCGGGGGAUAAAAAACGGGACGUGUCCCGUCUUGCAGGUACCCGUGCGAAUAAGGACCGGCUAAUUCCGUGCCAGCAGCCGCGGUAAUACGGAAGGUCCGAGCGUUAUCCGGAUUUAUUGGGUUUAAAGGGUGCGUAGGCGGGAUGGUAAGUCAGUGGUGAAAGUUUGCGGCUCAACCGUAAAAUUGCCGUUGAAACUGCCGUUCUUGAGUGCGAGCGAGGUAGGCGGAAUGUGCCGUGUAGCGGUGAAAUGCAUAGAUAUGGUACAGAACUCCGAUUGCGAAGGCAGCCUACCAGUACGCUACUGACGCUGAGGCACGAAAGCGUGGGUAUCGAACAGGAUUAGAUACCCUGGUA